UUCUUUCCAGAAAUUACCCUUACCCCACGUUGAGCUCGGCGGUCCAUUUUUUGGACACUCUGACCGAAAUCACCUUGGAUCCUCCAUAAUUAGCCUGAAAAAAAGUCGGUAGGUGAGUUAUGUUGGAUUCUUUGGUGUAGAUUUAUAAAAGUUGCAAGCUUCUUUAAAUGGUUAACUAAUAUGAAAAGGAAGGGUAUAUGGAUGCGGUGGGUGUAUCCUCAAGUCAACCAUUGUAAUGCAUUAAAACCAAAUUUAAUGUGUUAUUUGCACGUUGAACGAAAAUCAUUUAUCUAUUCCAGCUAUUUAAGUGAAAUAUUUUAGUCGAAUAGAAUAUUAUUGUAAAUUUAUUCUAUAUGAUAUAAAUUAAAGAAUAUAUGAAAUUAGUGGAAUAAUUCCUAACUCGGUUUGUAGCGAAUUUAGUUGUUAAUGCAGGAGGACAUGGAUUCCAAAGUAUUAAAAUAUGUUUAUCCUACUUUCUAAUGAUUAAGAGAAGGAUUAUGAGUAAUUUAAAACUUGUAUCAAUAAAAUACUAUAUUUCGUAAUUAGAAAAUAGAUUGGAUUGGAUUAUAAAAAUGGGAGUCCAAAUUCGAUCCAUAAUUUAAAUGUCUUUUUUUACAGGUUCCAACUCUAAUAAUUUUUAUGAACUCUUUUACAUAUUGAACAAGAUUUUAAAUUUUUUUAUAUUCUUGAGGUUCAUGAUUAUCUUUCCCACCUCCAAAAUUUGAAUCUAAUUUUUUUUUAAAAUUUUAACAAAUAAUCCACCUUUAAACAAAUUUAUUAUUGGACCGCAUACUUUUUCUAAAACACAGGAAAUUUCUUAAUUUGCUUACGUUGGUUAGAUGGUGACAAAUUUUGGACUAAAGGACGACCCUUCCCUAAGCUUUGCUCGUCAGUGAGACGCUAUAACUUGGACGUGCGUGCUUUUUCCAGAACCCGGAAAUUUUCGACUACAGGACGUUUCUUCCCUAUCCUACGAAUAAAACAAUGGCUGCUACUUGUAGUUCGUGUCAUUGUGCAUGAUUUUGCGUAGCCAAUCGUUCAACUUCUUCAUACAUGCAGCGUUAUAUAUAUUACAAUAUACCCUCAACGUAUAACAAUAAGCUCUUUACAGCAGUAUUUUAUUAUAAUACUUAUAGAAUCAAUUUUUAUAUUUUUUUAACUUUUUAUAACAGCUAUAAAAUAUGUUUUUUAAUUAAAUUAAUUUUCCAUAAUAGUUAUUUUUUCUUCAAAUUUUAAUAAAAUUAGUUUUUAUUACUAAGUGAAAUAAAAUUAAUAAAUUUUAAUUAUUUUUUAACAAAUAUAUUUAAAUUUUACAUAAAAAGUCAAGUAACCAUACUUUAUUAAAUGAAAUUACAUUUAUAAAGUUUAUCAAUGAUAUAAUCUAAAUCUCACUAACUAAUAUAUAAAUCUUAAAUAUUGUU
rnacentral:lncRNA from 1 species